UGUGAACUCCUACGGGAGGCAGCAGUGGGGAAUUUUGGACAAUGGGCGCAAGCCUGAUCCAGCCAUGCCGCGUGUCUGAAGAAGGGCUUCGGGUUGUAAAGGACUUUUGUCAGGGAAGAAAAGGCUGUUGCUAAUAUCGACAGCUGAUGACGGUACCUGAAGAAUAAGCACCGGCUAACUACGUGCCAGCAGCCGCGGUAAUACGUAGGGUGUAAGCGUUAAUCGGAAUUACUGGGCGUAAAGCGAGCGCAGACGGUUACUUAAGCAGGAUGUGAAAUCCCCGGGUUCAACAUGGGAACUGCGUUCUGAACUGGGUGACUAGAGUGUGUCAGAGGGAGGUAGUAUUCCACGUGUAGCAGUGAAAUGCGUAGAGAUGUGGAGGAAUACCGAUGGCGAAGGCAGCCUCCUGGGAUAACACUGACGUUCAUGCUCGAAAGCGUGGGUAGCAAACAGGAUUAGAAACCCGGGUAGUCCAGAAGUG
rnacentral:rRNA from 1 species